rnacentral:lncRNA from 1 species
CAGAUCCUUUCCUAGAUUGGGGAGAGAGAUUGUCCCAUCCAGUAUUAGGGGAGAAAGAGACAAUCUCUAAGGGGCAGAGGGUUGAUUUAACCUUGGAUUGGAAUGUUGGCAUGAGUUGUUGUAAAUGCACAAUAGAUAUUUUUGGCAUUAUGCGGGGUUAGCAACACGAGAGUGGAAAGAGAUGGAGAGAGUGGGUGGGAGGGGGAGAAAAUGGGGCUCUUGUUGGAUUGAGACUGUGGGUUUACAAAUCUUUUUUGUCCAAAACAUACCUUAUAUUUAUGAGUAUUGCUACUGUUCAUCCAUACAUUUAUCGCUCAAUUUGUUUGUCCAAUAUGGUAAUCAGGAAUUGGUGCGAUACAUGGGGGUAGGUGGUGUUAGUUAGGGUCCCAUGUAUUGCUUAGCUAAUACCUGACUGCCACACCGGACAGGUGAAUUGAGCAGCGAUAUGAGAGGUGAUCCCCAGCAUUUUUUUAUAUUUAUUAUAUGAUAAAGUUCUCCAAGUGAACUUACUAAAUUUUCUACCCAAAGCAAAUUUGAUUGACCUAAUAAUUCCAAUUUUCUCUUCUAGAUAUAGCAUAAAUUGGUGACAUUUAUGCAUGCAUUUUUUUUAUAUUUACAUAUACUUUAUGGCUCUUCAUUUAUUGCACUUUUUUGAGGAUUUCUAAAAGCUCUCUCUCUCUCUCUCUACAUAUAUAUAUGUAUAUGUAUAUAUCUAUAUAUAUAUGUGUGUGUGUGUGUGUAUUUAUAUAUAUGUAUAUAUAAACAUAUAUAUGUAUGUAUGUAUAUAUGUACAUGUAUACAUAUCUAUAUAUACAUAUAUAUGUGUGCAUGUAUCUAUAUGUAUGUAUGUAUGUAUGUGUGUGUGUGUGUAUAUGUGUAUAUAUGUUGUAAGGUUUUGAACUGAUAGUGAUAUUACUUUUGUUGACAGUAUUAAAGCUUGAUAAAAGUAUAAUGACAUGACAAGUAGUUUAAUGAUACACAAUAUGUCCAUGCAUACCAUGUU